rnacentral:rRNA from 1 species
CCUACGGGUGGCUGCAGUGGGGAAUAUUGGACAAUGGGCGAAAGCCUGAUCCAGCCAUGCCGCGUGUGUGAAGAAGGCCUUCGGGUUGUAAAGCACUUUCAGUGGGGAAGAAAGCCUUGGGGCUAAUACCCUCGAGGAAGGACAUCACCCACAGAAGAAGCACCGGCUAACUCUGUGCCAGCAGCCGCGGUAAUACGGAGGGUGCGAGCGUUAAUCGGAAUUACUGGGCGUAAAGCGCGCGUAGGCGGUCUGAUAAGCCGGUUGUGAAAGCCCCGGGCUCAACCUGGGAACGGCAUCCGGAACUGUCAGGCUAGAGUGCAGGAGAGGAAGGUAGAAUUCCCGGUGUAGCGGUGAAAUGCGUAGAGAUCGGGAGGAAUACCAGUGGCGAAGGCGGUCUUCUGGACUGACACUGACGCUGAGGUGCGAAAGCGUGGGUAGCAAACAGGAUUAGAUACCCUUGUAGUC